rnacentral:rRNA from 1 species
GAUGAACGCUGGCGGCGUGCCUAAUACAUGCAAGUCGAGCGAACGGACGAGAAGCUUGCUUCUCUGAUGUUAGCGGCGGACGGGUGAGUAACACGUGGAUAACCUACCUAUAAGACUGGGAUAACUUCGGGAAACCGGAGCUAAUACCGGAUAAUAUUUUGAACCGCAUGGUUCAAAAGUGAAAGACGGUCUUGCUGUCACUUAUAGAUGUAUCCGCGCUGCAUUAGCUAGUUGGUAAGGUAACGGCUUACCAAGGCAACGAUGCAUAGCCGACCUGAGAGGGGGAUCGGCCACACUGGAACUGAGACACGGUCCAGACUCCUACGGGAGGCAGCAGUAGGGAAUCUUCCGCAAUGGGCGAAAGCCUGACGGAGCAACGCCGCGUGAGUGAUGAAGGUCUUCGGAUCGUAAAACUCUGUUAUUAGGGAAGAACAUAUGUGUAAGUAACUGUGCACAUCUUGACGGUACCUAAUCAGAAAGCCACGGCUAACUACGUG